rnacentral:lncRNA from 1 species
GAGACAGAAUUCUCUUUCUUAGUCUCUUGUCCAGAUACUUUUAAAAGAAGUGGGGAUUGCUCUUUGAUGGGGGAGCAUAAGUUAUGGAUGAUAAAGUGCUAAUUGUAUUCUUUUCUCUGAAACAGCAGGUAGCAUAUUUUUUCUCUUCCAUACUGCAUACUUUUCAAGGCUUUAUUUCAUGCCCAGCACACCCUUCCCCACACCUCUGCAGGCUACUUGAGGCUUCUUCCUUGGGUCUGCCGCAGCAGACUGUCUUCUGAUUCAGACAGACGCUCCUCUGGUCUUCCACACUUUUCAGUUUCUGCGUUUACUUUGAUAUUAGAGUUUCCUUCCCCACGUGGUUCUUGCCCUUUCUUUAACUAUCCACACGGAUGCUGUGUCUGGCCUCUUCCUGUAAAUACUGUACAAUGAUUCUGUGUAAAUAACUGGUCCUUGCCCACAGAGCAAGCGAGCCUUCCAGGCCAACAAAUUAAAGAUCGGUUUGCUCACUGA